rnacentral:tRNA from 1 species
ACGUUGGUGGUUCAGAGGUAGAAUUCUCUCCUCCCACGCUGGAGACCCAGGUUCAACUCCUGGUCAACGUA